UGCCUAAACCCUGUGGAUAACUCCCUGGGCAUGGCAUAAAAACCUUCGCAGAUAAUAAGCUCGUCGUUAGAGCAUCUGCGAAGGUCAUGUCUCGAAAGAGAUGUGGGUGACGUAAGUCAUC
rnacentral:sRNA from 1 species